GACACGGUGACCUCUUCCGUCGUCCUAGGGACUGACGGCCACGAUUGAAGUGAAGACAGCGAUGAUAGCACACUAAUCAGGGUAUUGAGAACAAGGAGAGCAGGUGGCACAUUGCAGAAACAGGCAGAAACCAAUAUUGAUAUUUUCAAUAAUUAAAAAUAGUACAUAAUAGUAGUGUCACAUACAAUUACUACAACAUAAAUUCCACACACUAAUACAUAAAGGUAGUGCCACAUACAAUUACUAUAACAUAAAUUCCACACACUAAUACAUAAAGGUAGUGCCACAUACACUGUCCUCACUAAUACAUAAUGAUCUGCUUAGUUUUCUGGAGAUGGAAAUAGUUCCUUGGCUAGAUUCUGUAAGAGUUGUUCGUGCAGCUUCAGUAUUGCUGGACUCAUGUUCGAAGUAUCCUUAUCAAACUGUUGCAUGUAGUUUUUUAUCUUCUCCAUUCUAACCUGCUCCUUUGAUGCUUCUGCUGUUUUCUCCAGUGCACUAGCUCUCUUCAACAUAGCAUCAUGAAACAAAACCAUGUCUUCAUCUGGCUGCAAGCCUAGGGGAGAUUGUGGCUGUUGGAACGAGGAGGCAGGGAAAGAUUGCUGGAAGCAGAGGAGGAGGCUGCUGGGAACAAGGAGGCAGUAGAGGAUUGCUGGGAGGAAGGAAGCAAGCUGCUGGGGCUCCUU